rnacentral:RNase_P_RNA from 1 species
GCUGGGUAGCGGAUGGCCGCCGGCAGCAAUGCUGGAGGAAAGUCCGGGCACCGCAGGGCAGGAUGCUGGAUAACGUCCAGGCGUGGAAACGCGACAGACAGUGCAACAGAAAGCAAACCGCCUGACAAGGGUUUCGGCCUUUGUCCGGUAAGGGUGAAAUGGCGAGGUAAGAGCUCACCGCAUUCCUGGUGACAGGGAUGGCACGGUAAACCUCAUCCGGUGCAAGACCAAGCAGGAGUCCGUCCGCAAGGACCAGUUGCUGCCCGCAGCUGUUGGACAUCCGGGUAGGUCGCUUGAGGCGGUCGGUAACGACUGACCCAGAGAGAUGGUCAUCGCCUUCUUUCGAAGGUACAGAACCCGGCUUAUAGCUACCCUACACGA